UUUUUUUUUUUUCUUUUGGCUGCACUUGCAGCAUGUGGAAGUUUCCAGACCAGGGACUGAACUCAAGCCACAGUAGUGAGAGUGCCAAAUCCUUAACCACAAGGCCAGCAGGGGAACACCCGAUAUAACUUUUAUAAAAAUCUGUAUUGAGUUUCCUCCAGCCACGUGAAGAUGUGAGAUUCUGAAGAACCCUCUCCCACUCAUUAUACAGAGAAAUGUAUGUGUAAAAUGUAACCAGAAAAUGUAAUACGCUGAUAGGCUGUAAAGAAAGGGAAAUCUCCAGGUACCAGAAUUAAAGAGGGCCUUCGAAACCACAGUGUACACACAGGAGAUGGAAACAUGGUGGCCAAGUGGGUAACAGAUCCAGAUAUAGGCUCCACAGAUCAGGGAGGAGGACAGAACACCCAGAUGAAGACACGGGUCUGAGCACUGGCCCACGUGGGAAAGGAAUCCCAAAUGAGACACACCACAAUAGAAGGGCCUCAAAAGGCUGCCUCCUCCACCAAAAUGUGACCAGAAAAUUUCCUCCUUCAGGGAGUUCCCAUUGUGGCUUAGUGGUAACAAACCUGACCCUGCCUAUGAGGACGCAGGUUUGAUCCCUGGCCUUGAUCAGUGGGUUAAGGAUCUGGCAUUGCCAUGAGGAGUGGUGUAGGUCAUAGACAUGGCUCGAAUCUGGCGUUGCUGUGACUGUGGCGUAAGACAGCAGCUGCAGCUCCAAUUGGACCCCUAGCCUGGCAACUUCCAUGUGCCACAGGUGCGGUCCUGAAAAAGAAGAAGAAAAUUUCCACCUUCAGAAGAAUCAGAGAGGAGUUCCCAUCAUGGCUCAGUGGUUAAUGAAUCCAACAAGGAACCAUGAGUUUGCAGGUUCGAACCCUGGCCUUGCUCAGUGGGUUAAAAGAUCUGGCAUUGCCAUGAGCUGUGGUGUAGGAUCUGGCAUUGCUGUAGGCCAGCGGCUAUAGCUCAGAUUAGACUCCUAGCCUGGGAACCUGCAUAUGCCAUGGGUGCGGCCCUAGAAAAGACAAAAAGAAAAAAAAAAAGAAGACGAAUCAGAGAAAUAUUGCCAUGUGACGAGGCUCUAGGCAGGCAGGCUCCAAUGCCACAGGUGAUUACCAGGAUGUGUGACAAUAAAGCACGACAACAAAGAGGGGACUUGGGCACCAUCUGAAAAACUUACUGUGCAUUUACCCUUUAACCCAGCAAUCCAUUUCUAAAAAUCCAUCCCAAAGAUACACUGGCAAAAAGGCAAAGUAAUGUAAUCACAAGGCUAUUGAUUUCAGCAUCGAUUACAAGAGCUAAAUGAUGCAAAUAACCCAAAUGUUCAACACUUACGAGGGUAUCACAAUGUGGCACCAAGCACACUAAAAGAUAUGGAUCUUUCAUCUAAGAAAAGAGAAAAAUGUGUGUGUGUGUGUGUGUGUGUGUGUGUGCGCGCGCGCACGCGCGUGCGAGCGCGCGCAUGCGUGCAUGCUGGGGGGGGGGGUUAUAAUUUCAAAAGGAAACAACUGAAGCAUAAGCCAAAAACUAAUGAAAAUGGUUACAUGUCAUUAGGAAGGAAGAAACAGAACAGGAAAGGAUGGAAGCAAUGCUUCUGUGAUAUAUCUAUUAUAUAUAAUUAAAAUGCACAUCAUUAAUAUGUAUUACAUGUAGUCUCUUUUUACUUCAGAACAUUUUUCUUUGUUAAAAAAAAGGAAAAAAAAUCCUAAAAAUUAAAAGCAUGCUAAAACAAAUGAACCUAACUGUAAAUCAAGUUGGUGUUAUAGACACACAGAAGGAAAACAUUCCGUUUAAUUGAAGUAAGGGAUGUUAAACUACAGUGUUUGAUUGUACAUCCCUAAUGGGACAGAAUGUAAGGACAACAAUAAGAAAAAAAAAAAAAAGACUGUGUUCAGUAUCUUAUUUAAAUUUGUUGAUAUUAUUAUUUUAACCACUAUACAGUCUAGAAUAAAAUAAUUAUGUUAAUUUAACAGAACCAAGAUUUUCAUCAUAAAAGAUGUACAAGCAUAAAAUCAAAGGAGUUAAAAACCCAGUGAUCCUAACUUUGAAUUAAAGAUAUCAGUAUGAAUUUAUAAUUUUCCC
ensembl:lncRNA